AUGGGGAGAGGAGCGCUGCCCUUGAGGGCGUGGUUCCUGCGCAGGGCUGCGAUGUUGGUCCGUUGGGACCGGCGCAGCCAGGCAAAGGGAAAGGGGCGGCGGUUGGAGGGGCGUCGCCGUGUGGAGGAGAUGUUGGAGUGGCUGAGCCUCACGGCGACGGAGGCGAAUCCGGUGAUCCUGGACGAUGAGGACGAGGUCGACCUGGUGGCUCCGGAUUGCGCCCUGGUGGGGAAGGUCUUGUCCCCCAACACGCUCCACAUCCAUACGAUCUCGUCGGUGAUGAGACCGGCGUGGGGCAACCCAAAAGGCUUGCUGUUCCACCCCGCGGGUGACUAUUUGUUCGUGGCUGAAUUUGGCACCGAGGCAGACAGAGCCAGGGUGGUCGAAGUCUCACCAUGGAUGGUGGGCAAACAUGCAGUGCUGCUAAAGUUGCCUCCAAGAUUGAUGAAGGAAAAACUUGGGAUGCAAUUUGCUAAACCAAUUGGUCGAAUCUCCAAGGUGGAGUCUGACGCAGAUGGCCGCUGCUGGGGAGGUUUUAUGAGGGUGAGAGCUGAGAUUGUUGUACAGGAGCCGAUCGUUCGAUAUGUGACAGUAACUUCGGCAAAGCUCAAAACUACUGAAACUUACUCUGUGACGUAUGAGCGGCUGCCGUUUCACUGCUUCUCCUGUGGUAUCCUUGGCCACUCUUCGAUCUUGUGCCCCAAUCCAGGCGUCAGAGAUGAAAAUGGGGACCUACCCUAUGCCUCAAAGAAGAUGUCAAUCCGAGGAAAUCGGGAGGUUCAAAGUCCAGUAAUGCAUCAACGUCUGCUGAUGGGGAGGAAAACUAUGUUGGUGCUCACUCAUCUUCCUCAAACCGGACCAAGCCCAGAGACCAGACAGGCACGGUUGGCGGGGAUGGGGAGGUGUCAUCUCCUCUCAGGAAAGGAGGGGCGGCCCGGGGCCGAGGGCGCCCUACUCGUGGACGGGGAAAAGGGCGAGAUGGCGGCUCAGGUAGAGAGUUGUUCCUUGUGCAACAAAAGAAGACUGGUACGGCUGGCUAGAAGAGGAAAUCUGCUAAAGCCCAAGCUUCAACUGCGGCCCUUGGACCUGUAG
rnacentral:rRNA from 1 species